AUGGAUGACGAUAUCGCUGAGCUUGUGGUAGACAAUGGCUCUGGCAUGUGCAAAGCUGGCUACUGGGCGACAAUGCUCCCCGUACGGUCUUCCCAUCCAUCGUGGGCCACUGCAGCACCAGGGUGUGAUGGUGGGCAUGGGCCAGAAGGACUCCUACGUGGGCGACAAGGCCCAUAGCAAGAGAGGCAUCCUGACCCUGAAGUACCCCAUUGAGCAUGGCAUUGUCACCUACUGGGACGAUCUGGCACCACACCUUCUACAAUGAGCUGCGUGUGGCCCCCGAGGAGCACCCCAUGCUGCUCACCAAGGCCCCUCUGAACCCCAAGGCCAACACCCCAGUCAUGUACAUAACCAUCCAGGCUGUGCUGUCCCUAUAGCCUCUGGCUGUACCACUGGCAUCGUGAUGGACUCCGGUGAUGGGGGUCACCCACGCUGUGCCCAUCUAUGAGGGCUACACUCUCCCUCAUGCCAUCCUGCAUCUGGACCUGGCUGGCCAGGACCUGACAGACUACCUCAUGAAGAUUCUGACCGAGUGUGGCUAUAGCUUCACCACCACAGCUGAGUGGUACAUCAAGGAGAAGCUGUGCUACGUUGCUCCAGACUUCGAGCAAGAGAUGGCCACCACUGCAUCUUCCUCCUCCCUGGAGAAGAGCUAUGAGCUGCUUGAUGGCCAGGUCAUCACCAUUGGCAAUGAGUGUUUCUGCUGCCCCAAAGCGCUCUUCCAGCCUUCCUUCCUGGGUAUGGAAUCCUGUGGUAUCCACGAAACCACCUUCAAUUCCAUCAUGAAGUGUGAUGUUGACAUCCGUAAGGACCUCUGUGCCAACACAGUGUUGUCUGGUGGGACCACCAUGUACCCUGGCAUCGCAGACAGGAUGCAAAAGGAGAUCACUGCUCUGGCUCCCAGCAUGAUGAAGAUCAUGAUCAUCGCGCCCCCUGAGCACAAGUAUUCCGUGUGGAUGGGUGGCUCCAUCCUGGCCUCGCUGUCCACCUUCCAGCAGAUGUGAAUCAGUAAGCAGGAGUACGAUGAGUCUGGUCCCUCCGUCGUCUACCACAAAUGCUUGUAGGCCAACUGUUACUUA